rnacentral:antisense_RNA from 1 species
CUCGAUGGUGGCUGUGAGCAGGGUGCCCCCGGGCACGCCGGAAAAGCCUACUUCCCCGGUCGACUAACCUGCUUACAGCUGCCACCCCC